rnacentral:rRNA from 1 species
ACUCCUACGGGAGGCAGCAGUGGGGAAUAUUGCACAAUGGGCGCAAGCCUGAUGCAGCCAUGCCGCGUGUAUGAAGAAGGCCUUCGGGUUGUAAAGUACUUUCAGCAGUGAGGAAGGUGGGUAUGUUAAUAGCAUAUUCAUUUGACGUUAGCUGCAGAAGAAGCACCGGCUAACUCCGUGCCAGCAGCCGCGGUAAUACGGAGGGUGCGAGCGUUAAUCGGAAUUACUGGGCGUAAAGCGCAUGCAGGUGGUUUGUUAAGUCAGAUGUGAAAGCCCGGGGCUCAACCUCGGAAUUGCAUUUGAAACUGGCAAACUAGAGUACUGUAGAGGGGGGUAGAAUUUCAGGUGUAGCGGUGAAAUGCGUAGAGAUCUGAAGGAUACCGGUGGCGAAGGCGGCCCCCUGGACAGAUACUGACACUCAGAUGCGAAAGCGUGGGGAGCAAACAGGAUUAGAUACCCUGGUAGGCUCU